rnacentral:rRNA from 1 species
AGUGAACGCUGGCGGUAGGCCUAACACAUGCAAGUCGAACGGCAGCACAGUAAGAGCUUGCUCUUACGGGUGGCGAGUGGCGGACGGGUGAGGAAUACAUCGGAAUCUACUUUUUCGUGGGGGAUAACGUAGGGAAACUUACGCUAAUACCGCAUACGACCUACGGGUGAAAGCAGGGGAUCUUCGGACCUUGCGCGAUUGAAUGAGCCGAUGUCGGAUUAGCUAGUUGGCGGGGUAAAGGCCCACCAAGGCGACGAUCCGUAGCUGGUCUGAGAGGAUGAUAGGCAAAAUUGGAACUGGGACACGUUCCAAACUCCAAGGGGGGGCGGCGGUGGGAAAUUUUGGACAUGGGGCGAAGGCCUGAUCCGGCCAUACGGGGGGGUGAAGAAGGCCUUCGGGUUGUAAAGCCCUUUUGUUGGGAAAGAAAAGCAGCAGGUUAAUACCCCGCUGUUCUGACGGUACCCAAAGAAUAAGCACCGGCUAACUUCGUG